UCCCUCAGAGCUGGUUUCAUUUCUGCAACUGCUCACACAGCUGGUUUAUACUGAAACCUGUGCACGCUCCGGACACGGAAGACGGAGCCCUAUGUGACAGGUUUCAGUUGUAGGAAAUACACUAAAAAUGUCAUGGCCAGGUGUCUGGCUGGAACUCUCUCUGAGGCUGAAACAGCUGUGACCCUGUCCUCCAGGUCGCCCUCCGACUCCAGCUCCCAGUCUGACCUCUGCGACCCUCGCUCCCCGUCGGACACAGCAGAGAAAG